rnacentral:rRNA from 1 species
CCUACGGGUGGCAGCAGUGAGGAAUAUUGGUCAAUGGACGGAAGUCUGAACCAGCCAUGCCGCGUGCAGGACGACGGUUCUAUGCGUUGUAAACUGCUUUUGUACGAGGGCAAACUCAGAUUCGCGUACCUGUCUGAAUGUACUUUACGAACAAGGAUCGGCUAACUCCGUGCCAGCAGCCGCGGUAAUACGGAGGAUGCAAGCGUUAUCCGGAUUUAUUGGGUUUAAAGGGUGCGUAGGCGGACGGUUAAGUCAGGGGUGAAAGCCCGGGGCUGAACUCCGGAGUAGCCUUUGAAACUGUUGGACUGGAGAGGGGGUGAGGUAGGCGGAAUGCAUAGUGUAGCGGUGAAAUGCUUAGAUAU